rnacentral:rRNA from 1 species
GAGUUCUGAUUAUUGAAAGGUGCUUGCAUCUUGAUUUAAUUUUGAACGAGUGGCGGACGGGUGAGUAACACGUGGGUAACCUGCCCUUAAGUGGGGGAUAACAUUUGGAAACAGAUGCUAAUACCGCAUAAAUCCAAGAACCGCAUGGUUCUUGGCUGAAAGAUGGCGUAAGCUAUCGCUUUUGGAUGGACCCGCGGCGUAUUAGCUAGUUGGUGAGGUAACGGCUCACCAAGGCAAUGAUACGUAGCCGAACUGAGAGGUUGAUCGGCCACAUUGGGACUGAGACACGGCCCAAACUCCUACGGGAGGCAGCAGUAGGGAAUCUUCCACAAUGGACGCAAGUCUGAUGGAGCAACGCCGCGUGAGUGAAGAAGGCUUUCGGGUCGUAAAACUCUGUUGUUGGAGAAGAAUGGUCGGCAGAGUAACUGUUGUCGGCGUGACGGUAUCCAACCAGAAAGCCACGGCUAACUACGUGCCAGCAGCCGCGGUAAUACGUAGGUGGCAAGCGUUAUCCGGAUUUAUUGGGCGUAAAGCGAGCGCAGGCGGUUUUUUAAGUCUGAUGUGAAAGCCCUCGGCUUAACCGAGGAAGUGCAUCGGAAACUGGGAAACUUGAGUGCAGAAGAGGACAGUGGAACUCCAUGUGUAGCGGUGAAAUGCGUAGAUAUAUGGAAGAACACCAGUGGCGAAGGCGGCUGUCUGGUCUGUAACUGACGCUGAGGCUCGAAAGCAUGGGUAGCGAACAGGAUUAGAUACCCUGGUAGUCCAUGCCGUAAACGAUGAAUGCUAGGUGUUGGAGGGUUUCCGCCCUUCAGUGCCGCAGCUAACGCAUUAAGCAUUCCGCCUGGGGAGUACGACCGCAAGGUUGAAACUCAAAGGAAUUGACGGGGGCCCGCACAAGCGGUGGAGCAUGUGGUUUAAUUCGAAGCAACGCGAAGAACCUUACCAGGUCUUGACAUCUUUUGAUCACCUGAGAGAUCAGGUUUCCCCUUCGGGGGCAAAAUGACAGGUGGUGCAUGGUUGUCGUCAGCUCGUGUCGUGAGAUGUUGGGUUAAGUCCCGCAACGAGCGCAACCCUUAUGACUAGUUGCCAGCAUUUAGUUGGGCACUCUAGUAAGACUGCCGGUGACAAACCGGAGGAAGGUGGGGAUGACGUCAAAUCAUCAUGCCCCUUAUGACCUGGGCUACACACGUGCUACAAUGGAUGGUACAACGAGUUGCGAGACCGCGAGGUCAAGCUAAUCUCUUAAAGCCAUUCUCAGUUCGGACUGUAGGCUGCAACUCGCCUACACGAAGUCGGAAUCGCUAGUAAUCGCGGAUCAGCACGCCGCGGUGAAUACGUUCCCGGGCCUUGUACACACCGCCCGUCACACCAUGAGAGUUUGUAACACCCGAAGCCGGUGGCGUAACCCUUUAGGGAGCGAGCC